rnacentral:rRNA from 1 species
UACGUAGGCAGCGAGCGUUGUUCGGAGUUACUGGGCGUAAAGGGUGUGUAGGCGGUUUUCUAAGUUUGGUGUGAAAUCUCCCGGCUCAACCGGGAGGGUGCGCCGAAAACUGGGAGACUAGAGUGCGGGAUGGGAGAGUAGAAUUCCUGGUGUAGCGGUGAAAUGCGCAGAUAUCAAGAGGAACACCAAUGGCGAAGGCAGCUCGCUGGGACGGUACUGACGCUGAGACGCGAAAGCGUGGGGAGCAAACAGG